GCAAUCCAGAAAUAUACCAAUAUCUCUGUUGGUAGUGGUAAUACCAGCAAUAACAAUAGCAUUUGUAGUAGGAUGUGUGUAUUUAUAUACCCAGAGAUAUAAAAAACAGUCUCUGAGAUCAAAGGAGCCACAUUCUAAGGAAUUAUUAGGCCAUAAAGAUACAGUAAAUCAAGAUAAUGUGCAUCAUGAUUCAAUUCAUCAAACACCAGACACCAGGAAAUGUGGAACUCUCGAGUCAACUCCAGGAACGUCUGUGUCAAAAAGGAGCGUUUAUUCAGACAGGAAAAGAAAAUCUAAACUUGCAAGACCACUCUUCCCAACAGAAAAUGGGUUAUCUUGUGAGAAGUCUUGAAUACUGAAUUCUUUAAAAGGACACUCCAUGCACUAAAACAACUUCAUCUAAAUGAAGUUGUUAUGGUGCUAGGAGGCCGCUGGAGACAAUCUUACCUGAAGGGGUUAAACCGUUCUCGUAAAGUCCUAGGGUGGCAUCCGGCUUCAGCAAUUUUACAUUCUGGAAGGUCGCUGAUUUGCUGAGAGUGGUCAGGUGGCGAAAUCUGGCUUGGAAAUCAGUUUUAUGAAUGGGGAAUCACUGAUUGGCUGACAGUGUCACCUGACUGCUCUCAGCAAAUCAGCGGUGCACCUGGCAGGUGGCACUCCGCGCUUCCGGAAUCUGAAACUACUGAAGCCAGGAGGAGUGGGCAUGGCCACUGGAUGCGACUUUGGGGAUAAACCGUUCAAGAAUGGGUAACCCCUACAGGUAAGAGUGU